UUAGAUACCCUACUAUUUUUAUUGUAAAAUUUGAAACUUGAGUAUUAGUAGUUAAGGUCUUGAAACUUAAAGAAUUUGGCGGUAUUAUAAUCUAUUUAGAGGAAUCUGUUAUGUAAUCGAUAGUCCACGUUGAACCUUACUUGUAUUAUUUCUUGUAUACCGCUGUUUAAGAAUAUACUUUUAGGUAGAUUUUCUUGAUAUAUUACUAAUUAAAAUUUCAGGUCAAGGUGCAGUUAUAUAUAAGUUGAAUAAUGGAUUACAAUAAAUUUUAUUUAUAUGGAUUGUUAUUGAAACAUAAUUUGAAGGUGGAUUUAAUUGUAAUUUUGUAAAGAUUAUUAAAAUGAUUAAUAGCUCUAUAAUAUGUACACAUCGCCCGUCGCUCUCGUUAUUAAGAUGAGAUAAGU
rnacentral:rRNA from 1 species